rnacentral:rRNA from 1 species
UACGUAGGUGGCAAGCGUUGUCCGGAUUUACUGGGUGUAAAGGGCGUGUAGCCGGGCUGACAAGUCAGAUGUGAAAUCCGGGGGCUCAACCCCCGAACUGCAUUUGAAACUGUUGGUCUUGAGUAUCGGAGAGGCAGGCGGAAUUCCUAGUGUAGCGGUGAAAUGCGUAGAUAUUAGGAGGAACACCAGUGGCGAAGGCGGCCUGCUGGACGACAACUGACGGUGAGGCGCGAAAGCGUGGGGAGUAAACAGG